UACGAAGGGGGCUAGCGUUGCUCGGAAUGACUGGGCGUAAAGGGCGCGUAGGCGGUUUGUACAGUCAGUUGUGAAAUUCCCGGGCUCAACCUGGGGGCUGCACUUGAUACGUAGGAACUUGAGUGGGGAAGAGGGUCGUGGAAUUCCCAGUGUAGAGGUGAAAUUCGUAGAUAUCAGGAGGAACACCGAUGGCGAAGGCAGCUACCUGGCCCUAUACUGACGCUGAGGUGCGAAAGCGUGGGGAGCGAACGGG
rnacentral:rRNA from 1 species